UGGCUUGACUACUCUAUUCAAGCCUCCAACUUGGCCAAGAUUCAUGAAGCUGUCCAAAGAAACAAAUCUACCUCUCAUCUGCUGACAGAUCUUCUCACAUGAAUUGUUCACAUGCUGCGAUAUCGAACUUUCGUUGCGAUAGAUAUGCAGUGGUUAAUGGUUAUCUGUUCAGGGAGGAGCAGGGAAUCCUUGCUUCAACUCAGACAAUUUAAUAUUCAGAGGC
rnacentral:lncRNA from 1 species